GCCACCCUAGCUCAAAUGGUAGAGCACCCGACUUGUAAUCGGAAGGUUGUCGGUUCGAUUCCGAUGGGUGGCUCCA
rnacentral:tRNA from 1 species